GGAGGUGGCUCAGUGGUAGAGCACUCACCUAGCACAUGCAAGGCCCUGGGUUCAAUCCUCAGCACCA
rnacentral:tRNA from 1 species